UACGUAGGGGGCAAGCGUUGUCCGGAUUUAUUGGGCGUAAAGAGCGUGUAGGCGGCUUUACAGGUCCGUUGUGAAAACUCGAGGCUCAACCUCGAGACGCCGGUGGAAACCGUAAAGCUAGAGUCCGGAAGAGGAGAGUGGAAUUCCUGGUGUAGCGGUGAAAUGCGCAGAUAUCAGGAGGAACACCCGUGGCGAAAGCGGCUCUCUGGGACGGUACUGACGCUGAGACGCGAAAGCUAGGGGAGCGAAUGGG
rnacentral:rRNA from 1 species